rnacentral:rRNA from 1 species
AACGCGAAGAACCUUACCUGGACUCGAAAUGCCGUCGACCGUCUCAGAGAUGAGGCUUUCCCGCAAGGGACGGCGGUAUAGGUGCUGCAUGGCUGUCGUCAGCUCGUGUCGUGAGAUGUUGGGUUAAGUCCCGCAACGAGCGCAACCCUCACCCUUAGUUGCACGUCCGCAAGGAAUGCACCCUAAGGGAACUGCCUCGGAUAACGGGGAGGAAGGUGGGGAUGACGUCAAGUCCUCAUGGCCUUUAUGCCCAGGGCUACACACGUGCUACAAUGGCCGGUACAAAGCGUCGCGAACCCGCGAGGGGGAGCCAAUCGCCAAAAACCGGUCUCAGUUCGGAUUGCAGUCUGCAACUCGACUGCAUGAAGCUGGAAUCGCUAGUAAUCGCGUAUCAGAACGACGCGGUGAAUACGUUCCCGGGCCUUGUACACACCGCACUACUA